UACGGGGGGGGCGAGCGUUGUUCGGAAUUACUGGGCGUAAAGGGCUCGUAGGCGGCCAACUAAGUCAGACGUGAAAUCCCUCGGCUUAACCGGGGAACUGCAUCUGAUACUGGAUGGCUUGAGUUCGGGAGAGGGAUGCGGAAUUCCAGGUGUAGCGGUGAAAUGCGUAGAUAUCUGGAGGAACACCGGUGGCGAAGGCGGCAUCCUGGACCGACACUGACGCUGAGGAGCGAAAGCCAGGGGAGCAAACGGG
rnacentral:rRNA from 1 species